rnacentral:snRNA from 1 species
AACCGUUGAUUCGCACAAUUGGU